UACGUAGGGUGCGAGCGUUUGUCCGGAAUUAUUGGGCGUAAAGGGCUCGUAGGCGGUUUGUCGCGUCGGGAGUGAAAACCUUGGGCUUAACUCAGGGCUUGCUUUCGAUACGGGCAGACUAGAGGUAUGCAGGGGAGAACGGAAUUCCUGGUGUAGCGGUGAAAUGCGUAGAUAUCGAGGAGGAACACCGUGCGGCGAAGGCGGGUUCGCCUGGGC
rnacentral:rRNA from 1 species